rnacentral:rRNA from 1 species
CCUACGGGUGGCAGCAGUGAGGAAUAUUGGUCAAUGGGCGAGAGCCUGAACCAGCCAAGUCGCGUGAGGGAGUACUGCCCUAUGGGUUGUAAACCUCUUUUGUCGGGGAGCAAAAGCCGGACGUGUCCGGCUGUGAGAGUACCCGAAGAAAAAGCAUCGGCUAACUCCGUGCCAGCAGCCGCGGUAAUACGGAGGAUGCGAGCGUUAUCCGGAUUUAUUGGGUUUAAAGGGAGCGUAGGCGGGUUGUUAAGUCAGUUGUGAAAGUUUGCGGCUCAACCGUAAAAUUGCAGUUGAUACUGGCAUCCUUGAGUACAGUAGAGGUAGGCGGAAUUCGUGGUGUAGCGGUGAAAUGCGUAGAUAUUAGGAGGAACACCAGUGGCGAAGGCGGCUUACUGGACGGUAACUGACGUUGAGGCUCGAAAGCGUGGGGAGCAAACAGGAUUAGAUACCCCAGUAGUC